GAUGAACGCUGGCGGCGUGCCUAAUACAAGCAAGUCGAGCGAACGGACGAGAAGCUUGCUUCUCUGAUGUUAGCGGCGGACGGGUGAGUAACACGUGGAUAACCUACCUAUAAGACUGGGAUAACUUCGGGAAACCGGAGCUAAUACCGGAUGAUAUUUUGAACCGCAUGGUUCAAAAGUGAAAGACGGUCUUGCUGUCACUUAUAGAUGGAUCCGCGCUGCAUUAGCUAGUUGGUAAGGUAACGGCUUACCAAGGCAACGAUGCAUAGCCGACCUGAGAGGGUGAUCGGCCACACUGGAACUGAGACACGGUCCAGACUCCUACGGGAGGCAGCAGUAGGGAAUCUUCCGCAAUGGGCGAAAGCCUGACGGAGCAACGCCGCGUGAGUGAUGAAGGUCUUCGGAUCGUAAAACUCUGUUAUUAGGGAAGAACAUAUGUGUAAGUAACUGUGCACAUCUUGACGGUACCUAAUCAGAAAGCCACGGCUAACUACGUG
rnacentral:rRNA from 1 species